GGCUCUUAAUUGUUACAACAGGGUCAAUUUUCUAAAAUUUCCACCACAACAUAAUCGAAAGUUGAUCCCGAUUGGAAUUGGCUCAAGUGCACCAUCGGCAAAUGUUGUAUCAAUGUGGUACCCCGACUCCGGGGCAACCACACAUGUGACUGCAAAUGGUAAGAUACUUAAUUUUUCUCAAAAAUAUAUGGGUUCUGAAAAAGUGGUAGUGGC
rnacentral:lncRNA from 1 species